rnacentral:pre_miRNA from 1 species
CGACGACGACGAUGAUGAUGAUGAUAAUGAUGUUGAUGAUGAGCCAUAGACAUCAUCGUCUUCGACAUCGUCGUCGUCCUUGCCAUUCUUGUCAUCAUCAUCGUCAUCAUCAUCAUCAUCAUCAUCA